rnacentral:rRNA from 1 species
UACGUAGGGUGCGAGCGUUAAUCGGAAUUACUGGGCGUAAAGCGUGCGUAGGCGGUCCGCAAAGUCUGAUGUGAAAGCCCCGGGCUCAACCUGGGAACUGCAUUGGAAACUAACGGGCUCGAGUGUGGCAGAGGGGGGUGGAAUUCCACGUGUAGCAGUGAAAUGCGUAGAGAUGUGGAGGAACACCGAUGGCGAAGGCAGCCCCCCUGGGCUAACACUGACGCUCAGGCACGAAAGCGUGGGGAGCAAACAGG